UGUUCCUACGGGGCAGCAGUGGGGGAUAUUGCACAAUGGGGGAAACCCUGAUGCAGCGACGCCGCGUGAGCGAUGAAGUAUUUCGGUAUGUAAAGCUCUAUCAGCAGGGAAGAAAAUGACGGUACCUGACUAAGAAGCCCCGGCCAACUACGUGCCAGCAGCCGCGGUAAUACGUAGGGGGCAAGCGUUAUCCGGAUUUACUGGGUGUAAAGGGAGCGUAGACGGCAGUGCAAGUCUGAAGUGAAAGGCAAGGGCUCAACCCUUGGACUGAUUUGGAAAGUGUGAUGCUG
rnacentral:rRNA from 1 species